AAUCAACCCGCUCAACGGGUUGAAUUCUGCGAGCACGGCCAGACUUGGGACCGGGAGAGGUGUGGGGUACUCUCAGGGUAGGGGUAAAAUCCUGUCAUCCUGAGAGGACCACCUGUUGCGAAGGCGCCACACUAGAACGGAUCCGACGGUCAGGGACGAAACCUAGGGGCACGAACCGGAUUAGAUACCCGGGUAGUCCUAGGUGUAAACGCUGUGGACUUGAUGUUGGGGGCGCUCCGAGCGCUCUCAGUGUCGAAGCGAAGGUGAUAAGUCCACUGCCUGGGGAGUACGGUCGCAAGGCUGAAACUUAAAGGAAUUGGCGGGGGAGCACCGCAACCUGAGGAUUGUGCGGUUUAAUUGGAUUCAACGCCGGAAAACUCACCAUGGCCGACGGACAAAUGAAAGCCAGUGUAACGAGCUUGCUGGAUUGUUCGAGAGGUAUUGCAUGGCCGUCGUCAGUUCGUACCGCAAGGCGUUCUGUUAAGUCAGAUAACGAACGAGACCCUCAUCCCUAUUUGCCAGCUGCGUCCCCGGACACAGCGCACUAUAGGGAGACCGCUGUCGAUAAGGCAGAUGAAGGCGAGGGCAACGGUAGGUCAGUAUGAUCCGAAUGCCAUGGG
rnacentral:rRNA from 1 species